rnacentral:rRNA from 1 species
AUUGAACGCUGGCGGAAUGCUUUACACAUGCAAGUCGAGCGGCAGCACGGGGGCAACCCUGGUGGCGAGCGGCGAACGGGUGAGUAACACAUCGGAACAUGCCCAGUGGUGGGGGAUAACACUUCGAAAGAAGAGCUAAUACCGCAUACGUCCUGAGGGAGAAAGAGGGGAUCUUCGGACCUCGCGCGAUUGGAGUGGCCGAUGUCAGAUUAGCUAGUUGGUGGGGUAAAGGCCUACCAAGGCAACGAUCUGUAGCUGGUCUGAGAGGAUGAUCAGCCACACUGGGACUGAGACACGGCCCAGACUCCUACGGGAGGCAGCAGUGGGGAAUUUUGGACAAUGGGGGCAACCCUGAUCCAGCCAUUCCGCGUGAGUGAAGAAGGCCUUCGGGUUGUAAAGCUCUUUCGGCAGGAACGAAACGGUGAGCUCUAACAUAGCUUGCUAAUGACGGUACCUGAAGAAGAAGCACCGGCUAACUACGUGCCAGCAGCCGCAGUAAAAC